AAUGAACGCUGGCGGCAGGCCUAACACAUGCAAGUCGAGCGGAGCGGCGGACGGGUGAGUAAUGCCUAGCAAUCUGACUGGUAGUGGGGGCUAACGUACGGCAACAGGCGAUAAUACCGCAUCCUAUCAGCUGAGCCUAGGUCGGAUUAGCUAGUUGGUGGGGUAAAGGCCUACCAAGGCGACGAUCCGUAACUGGUCUGACAGGAUGAUCAGUCCCACUGAAACGCAGACUCGGUCACUACUCCUACGGGAGCAAGCAGUGGUGAAUAUUGGACAAUGGGCGAAAGCCUGAUCCAGCCAUGACGCGUGUGUGAAGAAGGUCUUCGGAUUGUAAAGCACUUUAAGUUGUGAGGCGUGGCCAACAGAAUAAGCACCGGCUAAGUUCGUGCGAGCAGCCGGGGUAAUUC
rnacentral:rRNA from 1 species